GAUGAACGCUGGCGGCGUGCCUAAUACAUGCAAGUCGAGCGAAUGGAUUAAGAGCUUGCUCUUAUGAAGUUAGCGGCGGACGGGUGAGUAACACGUGGGUAACCUGCCCAUAAGACUGGGAUAACUCCAGGAAACCGGGGCUAAUACCGGAUAACAUGUUGAACCGCAUGGUUCGAAAUUGAAAGGCGGCUUCGGCUGUCACUUAUGGAUGGACCCGAGUGGCAUUAGCUAGUUGGUGAGGUAACGGCUCACCAAGGCGACGAUGCGUAGCCGACCUGAGAGGGUGAUCGGCCACACUGGGACUGAGACACGGCCCAGACUCCUACGGGAGGCAGCAGUAAGGAAUCUUCCGCAAUGGACGAAAGUCUGACGGAGCAACGCCGCGUGAGUGAUGAAGGCUUUCGGGUCGUAAAACUCUGUUGUUAGGGAAGAACAAGUGCUAGUUGAAUAAGCUGGCACCUUGACGGUACCUAACCAGAAAGCCACGGCUAACUACGUGCCAGCCGCCGCAGUAA
rnacentral:rRNA from 1 species